rnacentral:rRNA from 1 species
UACGUAGGGGGCAAGCGUUGUCCGGAUUUAUUGGGCGUAAAGAGCGUGUAGGCGGUCCGGUAAGUCCGCUGUGAAAGUCGGGGGCUCAACCCUCGAAUGCCGGUGGAUACUGUCGGGCUAGAGUGCGGAAGAGGCGAGUGGAAUUCCUGGUGUAGCGGUGAAAUGCGCAGAUAUCAGGAGGAACACCAAUGGCGAAGGCAGCACUCUGGGACGUGACUGACGCUGAGACGCGAAAGCGUGGGAGCAAACAGG